UUUUUCGAGAGUUUGAUCCUGGCUCAGGAUGAACGCUGGCUGUGUGCCUAAUACAUGCAUGUCGAGCGGAGUUCUUCGGAACUUAGCGGCGAAUGGGUGAGUAACACGUGCCUAACGUGCCUCUUAGAUUGGAAUAACGGCUAGAAAUGGCCGCUAAUGCCGGAUACUUAUUAGCUUCGCAUGAAGUUAAUAUAAAAGGAGCGUUUGCUCCACUAAGAGAUCGGGGUGCGUAACAUUAGUUUGUUGGUGAGGUAAAGGCUCACCAAGACGAUGAUGUUUAGCGGGGUUGAGAGACUGAUCCGCCACACUGGGACUGAGAUACGGCCCAGACUCCUACGGGAGGCAGCAGUAGGGAAUUUUCCACAAUGGACGAAAGUCUGAUGGAGCGACACAGCGUGCAGGAAGACGGCCUUCGGGUUGUAAACUGCUGUUAUAAGGGAAGAAAAAGUAGCGUAGGAAAUGACGUUACCUUGACGGUACCUUAUCAGAAAGCAACGGCUAACUAUGUGCCAGCAGCCGCGGUAAUACAUAGGUUGCAAGCGUUAUCCGGAAUUAUUGGGCGUAAAGCGUCUGUAGGUUGUUUGUUAAGUCUGACGUUAAAACUUGGAGCUCAACUCCAAAUUGCGUUGGAUACUGGCAAGCUAGAGUUAUGUAGAGGUAAGCGGAAUUCCUUGUGAAGCGGUGAAAUGCGUAGAUAUAAGGAAGAACACCAAUUUGGCGAAGGCAGCUUACUGGGCAUAUACUGACACUGAGAGACGAAAGCGUGGGGAGCAAACAGGAUUAGAUACCCUGG
rfam:Mycoplasma alligatoris A21JP2 gcontig_1119468158910, whole genome shotgun sequence.